GACUCGGCAGGCAGCGCGACCGCCAGGGCCGCCUCCACCGUCCCGCCCACCCCGCCUGCUGCCUCCCGGCGGAAAACUGGUCGUUCAGGUUUCCCGGGGAGAAGUACCCUGGCCGGACCGGAAGUCACCGUCACGGCCUAGUCGUAGCAGGUGACGGGUUCCGCCCGGGAACGGCCCAGGCGCCUCUCCUUGUCCCUGUGCUCCCUUUGGGCCUUUAUGCCAGGGUUUUAGGAGGGCCCCUCGCUCCGACGGGUUUUGUGCUGUCCCCGGCAUGGUAGUCAGUUAGUUAACCCUCAGAGCGGACCUGAUACUGAGGUGGGAAGCGGGGUUACCCGCGUGCCGUACCUCACCUCACGGGAGCGCAUUGAAGCCCAGUCCGUGUAAGAAGGGUUUUCGUCAACAUGGACACCAAGCAGAGUUCUACCUUUAGAAAACGAAAUGCACCUCAGCGUCCUCACGCACACAGCCGCUUUUCUGUCACAUCUCGUCUUUGAGAACGAAGGGGCCCAGGUUCGUCAUUUGGCUGGCAUUUGAGGUGGAGCACCUAGUGACGGAGGGUGUCAGGAAUCCAAGACCACGUGUCUUGAUCCUCCAGGUGGGAACCCUUUCCAUACCUUAUCACCGUCCGAGAUAAAAAGACCGGUAUCGUUCAGUGACAGGAUCGGAAUGGAACUUGUGACCUGCCUGGUUGGGGUUUGGUCUCUCGUCACCGUUGGCGUUGGCAUCUGCACAUCUCCAUCUUCCCUGGGACCCUGUCAGUCAGUAGGAAAACAGGCUGUGGAACACCUGGUACAAGAGGCCUGCCCUUAGGACUUAGCAGCUAUAAGGCCCUGUCGGAUGUCCCGACUCGCUUAGUCUGGAUUUUUAGUCUAACCAUAUGUCAUCUUUGGUCUUUGGUAGCUAAUUAGGGGAGCAACUGAACUAGGCUAAAUUACACAAAGGUGGCUUAUGAGUCAGCUGCAACAGCUGGUGAUUUGCAAAGAGUCCAUACCAUGAGAGUCACCUUCACAAGAUGUUUGAGGAAUGCUACCUGUGGAAUCAGACCACAAGGCCUGGUUGCAGUAUCGUCUUGGUUCCUUGAUAUACAUGAGAAGGGUCCAGCACCGUGCCUGUUUUCAAUGUGAGGGGGAAAAUUCCUUUCUAAAGUCUUUACCGGAGCAGAGACAAGCCCUGAGAUUCCAAAGAGGUUUUCCCCUGCCCAACCGACUCACCAAAAGAGAUGCGUGGCGUUUUCUUGGAUCCUUCAUCGUGGAUGCCACACGCUGUUUCUUUUCUGGAGUCGGUCCAGCAAGUGCUCGCAUCGGCAGGAACAAAAGUUAGUUUAGGUUCUUUUGCAUAAUCUAGAUGUCAACAUAGCCAACGAUCAGAUUGAUGAGCUAAUGUGGCCAGAGUUGGAAAACUGGUGUAAGGGGGUGUCGCGUGUAUGCUUGACCUGGUGAGAAAACAGUGAGAGUUCCUAAGAGUGAGACACAGUUUGAAAAAGGGCCCGUGGUGGGGGAUGAGAGGGAAAAUAGGAUAGAUUGGGACCAGCCAGCUCCAGUCAGCCUUUUCAUAAAUGGCUAAAGGAAGGGGAGGCUUUGUUAAAAAGCCUCUCUUUUUUAUUUCCCUUUGGGAGUAGGGAGACCCAGUAAGUGGAGAAAAUAGGUGGAAGCGAAAUUUCUUGAUCUGUGAUCUUGGGAAAAGCUGCCUGCUUCAUGCUUGUGUCUGUAUCUGGGGCCUAGGACUUGGCCAAGGAGACCCUUACUUUAAGGUCACCUCAGGGAUGGCCUUCCAGUUGUCCUAGUGUGCUGAUCUAACGUGACAUGGCUUGCAUGAAUCAGGAGUGUCUUUCCUUUAUUUUGAUAGCAGUGUAGGUGGUAAGCAUCUCGUAAGGGCCUUCCCAGCAAGGGGUGACAAUGUGUGCUUUCUUCUAAAAACCCUGAUGUGCAUCCAGUGUCCUGGUCAAAAGGGGUGAUGAAGCUCGCCAGUCAGUGGAGGUCACGCUCUUUUUACCUAUUGAUGAUAUCUUUCAAGGAUAUUAGUUACUUCUGUAUAUAGCUAGUUAUAGUAUCAAAUUGUUCACUCAAGUUCCUCUACUGUUUACUGAAUCCAGGAAUGGACUGUUUCGAGAUGCCAGGAGGCAUAGGGCAACCAGUCUUACAAAAGGGCUUCGUCCAUGUCUUCUAUUUGAAGUAUUCCAGAUUUUUAUAAGGACCAGAGGUAAUGCUUCUGGCCAUUAAGUCCAGUUACUUGACAGACUUUUCCUAAAGUCCUUUUGAUGUCUAGAUUUUUAGGUUUCAUUUGCCUUGAGAAUUGGGGAUGGUACAGGUUAUAAAAUUUUAAUGAGUACCCCAAAGAUUUUGUAAGCAAAUGGUUGAUCUCUGCUGUAAAAUGAGUUCCUUGGUCUGAGUCAGUCCAUAAAGCAAUACCAGAGUGAGGCGUAA